rnacentral:rRNA from 1 species
GUGGGGAAUAUUGGACAAUGGGCGCAAGCCUGAUCCAGCCAUGCCGCGUGGGUGAAGAAGGCCUUCGGGUUGUAAAGCCCUUUUGUUGGGGAAGAAAUCGUACGGGUGAAUAUCCCGUGCGGAUGACGGUACCCAAAGAAUAAGCACCGGCUAACUUCGUGCCAGCAGCCGCGGUAAUACGAAGGGUGCAAGCGUUACUCGGAAUUACUGGGCGUAAAGCGUGCGUAGGCGGUUUGUUAAGUCCGUUGUGAAAGCCCUGGGCUCAACCUGGGAAUUGCAGUGGAUACUGGCAAGCUAGAGUACGGUAGAGGAUGGUGGAAUUCCCGGUGUAGCGGUGAAAUGCGUAGAGAUCGGGAGGAACACCCGUGGCGAAGGCGGCCAUCUGGACCAGUACUGACGCUGAGGCACGAAAGCGUGGGGAGCAAACAGGAUUAGAAACCCUUGUAGUCC